AUUGAACGCUGGCGGCAUGCUUUACACAUGCAAGUCGAACGGCAGCGCGGGCUUCGGCCUGGCGGCGAGUGGCGAACGGGUGAGUAAUGCAUCUGAACGUGCCCAGUAGUGGGGGAUAGCCCGGCGAAAGCCGGAUUAAUACCGCAUACGACCUGAGGGUGAAAGCGGGGGACCGAGAGGCCUCGCGCUAUUUGAGCGGCCGAUGUCGGAUUAGCUAGUUGGUGGGGUAAAGGCUUACCAAGGCGACGAUCCGUAGCUGGUCUGAGAGGACGACCAGCCACACUGGGACUGAGACACGGCCCAGACUCCUACGGGAGGCAGCAGUGGGGAAUUUUGGACAAUGGGGGCAACCCUGAUCCAGCCAUGCCGCGUGCGGGAAGAAGGCCUUCGGGUUGUAAACCGCUUUUGUUCGGGAAGAAAUCCUGUGGGCUAAUACCCCGGGGGGAUGACGGUACCGGAAGAAUAAGCACCGGCUAACUACGUG
rnacentral:rRNA from 1 species